GACAUAAAAAAUCCCAAAAAAAUUUGUGCUCUUGCUGAGCACUGUAGAAAAACCAAACAUGUAAUGGAUUAUAACUCGACUAAGAUAUUGGAGUUCGAAAGGAAUUUAAACAAGCGAUCGUUCUUAGAAAUGUUUCAUAUUAAAGGAACCAAAAAUGUGAUGAAUUCUAGAAAGGACAUUGAAAAUAUCAGUAAUAUAUAUUCCUUUUUAUUUACAUACAGACAUAAUAAUGUUGUCCGAGAUGUGUCAGUUGAUUCUGGUUGAUAUACAAAGAAAAAGAAUUAUUCAUGUAUUGUAUCAUGUGUUCUGUGAUGUAACCUCAAUUGUAUUGUUUCCGCCAACGUUGCAUAUGUGCAAUUUUCGUACUUCUUUCUGAAUUUUAAGAAAUUUGAUUUUAGAAUAUAUUGACUUUUAGUGCCUAACAAUUCUAUUCAUAUGGCUUUUCACCUGUUGUGAUAUAUGUUGCCUUCUGCUGACUACUUGUUGACUUGUUUUGAUGCUAGAAAUAGUUUUAACCUCGACUAUUCAAGUCCUGAAGAAGGCUCAGACAUGAGCCGAAACGUCGACGAUGAAUAAAUGAGUUUCACAUAA